CAAUCCAGGGAGUUUUUGAAAUAUAAACCAAAUAAUUCCAAAUUUAAAUAACACAAAAUAACAUAUAUACAUAUGUAUUUGCAAUAAUUACCUAUCUUUUUGAAGGAUGUGUACAGACUAUGAUCCGGAGUCUUGCGCCCGAUGUUAUUCAUUUUGGUGUCUGGGAUUUGGAGCUAUUUUGUUAGCGAUCAAUGUGGCACUUAUUAUACUUAUUAGCCGCGGUUCACAGCCAAUUCUUUUCGGGGAACCUGCCAUUUUGAUAGUUCAAUUCGCUUUCGGCAUAUUGACUGCCUUAGCCAGUAUCAUCGCUGGAAUUCUAUUGCUUCUAGGAAUGAGCCGGGACAACCGCAAGUUGUUUAGAGUUGGAAAGAUCAUGAGCUAUAUAGCGCCUAUAGUGUAUUUCUAUUUAAUUUUUCCUAUAGUGGUUCUUGUUAUAGGCGUGUUGAAUCUUAGUGAGUACAGGGAUGAGCGUUGGCCUUAAAUUAUUGAUUCCCAAUACAAAUAAAGGAAGAUAAUCAUAAUGUUUUUACCUGUAAAAUUUCUGUGUUGUAAUCCCUCGAAAAUUUCAAAAUAUAAUGGUAACUUUUUCAGAUCUUCAAAGUUUCAGUGACUAAUAUCUGUAGGUACAACUAAAGUAAAUCCAAAGUCGGUUAAUUGUACAAAUGGGUAUUAGACCGAUACUAAGCUUAUAACUAAAGAACAACUUUUAUAAAAUAUAUACAUACAUGUCAUAUA